rnacentral:rRNA from 2 species
GCGAGAAAACUUUGCAAUGUGCGAAAGCACGACAAGGUUAAUCCGAGUGGCUUCUGUUGAAGAGGCCUUUUAACAGUCCUAAAAACACUGUUGAAUAAGGGGUGGGCAAGUUCUGGUGUCAGCCGCCGCGGUAAAACCAGCACCUCAAGUGGUCAGGAUGAUUAUUGGGCCUAAAGCAUCCGUAGCCUGAUCCAUAAGUUUUCGGUCAAAUCUAUGCGCUCAACGUAUAGGCUGCCGGGAAUACUGUGGAUCUAGGGAGUGGGAGAGGUAGACGGUACUCGGUAGGAAGAGGUAAAAUUCACUAAUCUAUCGAUGACCACCUGUGGCGAAGGCGGUCUACCAGAACACGUCCGACGGUGAGGGAUGAAAGCUGGGGGAGCAAACCGG